GGUGGCUCAGUGCUAGAGUGCUUGCCUUGCAUGCAUGAGGCCCUGGGUUCAAUUCCUCAGCACCA
rfam:Dipodomys ordii contig_55035, whole genome shotgun sequence.